GUUACUUUUCGUUCAAUUUCUUUUGGUGUUCGCCGUUUGCCGUUUGCCGUUUGAUAACAAUUUUUUCACGCACUUUGAUUUACGUUUUAGGGCCAAUAUUUUAUUUUUAUGUGCUCACGCGCGCCCGCAAUCAAACGAAAUGAGUUUACGCUGAAUUUCAAAAUUUGAAUAUUUUUGAGUACAAGUUCGCACAAAAAUUAUAUUGGAAUUUCAGUUUUAAUUGGAGGGCUAUAAAGCUGGUCUAAGGAGCUAGGCUUUUUUCCUUUCAACUGCUUUUUCAGGCUGUCUCAGAGAACGCAACAGGCUGACGACGAGCGAAGAACUCAGAGCUCGAACCGUUGCUCGCUUGUUUUUAUAUUGCAGCCAGUGGACGACGCUGAGCGCUCCACGAAGAGUGCCAAGCCGAGCAGCAAGGACGACGACGACGAAAGGACGACGACAGGUCGAAACCACGCGACUAGUUAUGAAUGAAUCCAUGCGACACGCACCAACGUGGGAGGCUCCACAUGUGGGCACCCCAGCUACGAAAAUCGCAGCAAAUGUUGCUCGACCUGCUAACGUUAAUGUUGACAACAUGUUGCUGCAACAUUUUCCAGCAACAUUCUGUCUUUCUGUUUUGUAUUUUCCCUUUUAAUUAUCGAACUCAAUUAAUAUGGAAUGAAUUUUUAUUCGC